GGUUAAGUUAGAAAGGGCGCACGGUGGAUGCCUUGGCACUAGGAGCCGAAGAAGGACGGGACUAACACCGAUAUGCUUUGGGGAGCUGUACGUAAGCGUUGAUCCAGAGAUUUCCGAAUGGGGGAACCCACUAUCUUUAGUCGGAUAGUAUCCUUACGUGAAUACAUAGCGUGAGGAAGGCAGACCCAGGGAACUGAAACAUCUAAGUACCUGGAGGAAGAGAAAGAAAAAUCGAUUUCCUGAGUAGCGGCGAGCGAAACGGAAAGAGCCCAAACCAAGAAGCUUGCUUCUUGGGGUUGUAGGACACUCUAUACGGAGUUACAAAAGAAAGUUAUAAAUGAAGCGGUCUGGAAAGGCCCGCCAAAGACGGUAACAGCCCGGUAGUUGAAAUAGCUUUCCCUCCAGAGUGGAUCCUGAGUACGGCGGAACACGUGAAAUUCCGUCGGAAUCCGGGAGGACCAUCUCCCAAGGCUAAAUACUCCCUAGUGACCGAUAGUGAACCAGUACCGUGAGGGAAAGGUGAAAAGCACCCCGGAAGGGGAGUGAAACAGUUCCUGAAACCGUGUGCCUACAAGUAGUUAGAGCCCGUUAAUGGGUGAUAGCGUGCCUUUUGUAGAAUGAACCGGCGAGUUACGAUUUGUUGCAAGGUUAAGCGGAAAAAGCGGAGCCGUAGCGAAAGCGAGUCUGAAUAGGGCGCAUAAGUAACAGGUCGUAGACCCGAAACCAGGUGAUCUACCCAUGUCCAGGAUGAAGGUAAGGUAAUACUUACUGGAGGUCCGAACCCACGCACGUUGAAAAGUGCGGGGAUGAGGUGUGGGUAGCGGAGAAAUUCCAAUCGAACUUGGAGAUAGCUGGUUCUCUCCGAAAUAGCUUUAGGGCUAGCCUCGAGGUAAAGAGUCAUGGAGGUAGAGCACUGUUUGGACUAGGGGCCCUUCUCGGGUUACCGAAUUCAGAUAAACUCCGAAUGCCAUGUACUUAUACUCGGGAGUCAGACUGCGAGUGAUAAGAUCCGUAGUCGAAAGGGAAACAGCCCAGACCACCAGUUAAGGUCCCCAAAUAUAUGUUAAGUGGAAAAGGAUGUGGGGUUGCUUAGACAACCAGGAUGUUGGCUUAGAAGCAGCCACCAUUGAAAGAGUGCGUAAUAGCUCACUGGUCGAGUGACCCCGCGCCGAAAAUGUACCGGGGCUAAACAUAUUACCGAAACUGUGGAUGAACCUCUUUAGAGGUUCGUGGUAGGAGAGCGUUCUAAGGGCGGUGAAGUCAGACCGGAAGGACUGGUGGAGCGCUUAGAAGUGAGAAUGCCGGUAUGAGUAGCGAAAGAAGGGUGAGAAUCCCUUCCACCGAAUAUCUAAGGUUU
rnacentral:rRNA from 1 species